CUGACGAAGGUUGCUUGCAGUUAAAUAGUUCUCAACUAUGGUUGAGCAAGUUGAAACACGAGAUUGUAGAUAUUUUGUAUUUCGUAAUAACGUUCUAAGCUAAACUCAGAAGCAGGCAUAACUAAAAUCGCAAUUGUCUCGCAACAACUUUGCUCAUUAGGACGAUCCGCAAGCCAAUCACUUGGCACUUAACAUUUCACUCUCAACAAAAUUCCAAUACAGAUCAUUAACUUUUAAGAUGAAUAAAUAUGAGUUAUUACUGAGCAAAAUCAAUUAUCGAGCGGCUCUAUUUCCUCGUAAGUUGAGGUGUGAAGUACUGGAUACAACGUAUUAUACAUAUCUACAGCACCACAAGAAGAUGAACCUACACACACAAAAACUGACAACCUGUCCAUGAAUAUAUUUGGUUCAUUUACUACGAUUUUGAUCUAUCUACGUCGGUACCACAUACGGCUUAUUUGUCAUGCACAUUACAAAAUGUGCGGUUACAAAAUGUGAAGCCAACUGCAACUGUUGUAAGUUUUCCAGACGAAUAGAAACACUAAUAACUCAUUUAUGUCCCAGAACUACA